rnacentral:lncRNA from 1 species
AUGUGCAGUGGAAGAGUGCUAAGAAAGCUGAACUCCCUGCGAGUUACUUCCUUUGAGCUCUUGAUUACGCUACGGUAUGAUCCAGGAUGGAUGAUGUUCUAUCCGUUCCUCUUGAAUACCUCAUGGAUCUCAGUAACAGCUGACUCGUUUGUUCCCAGACCAUACGCCUUUGAGAAGGGGAAAAGGAUGCGUUAAUCCUGCUCUCCUGCCCUCCUGAUGAAGCGUUCGUAGCCUGUUUCGCUCUAUUUGCC